ensembl:snRNA U6 U6 spliceosomal RNA
GUACUUGCUUUGGCAGCACAUAUACUAAAAUUGGAACAGUACAGAGAAGAUUAGCAUGGCCCCUGCAAGGAUGAGGCACAAAUUCAUGAAGCGUUCCAUAUUUAA